rnacentral:ncRNA from 1 species
UUUGCGGGGGUGCCGAAAGGCUGAGAUCAUACCCUUAGAACCUGAUGAGGCCAAUACCUCCGAAGGGAGCAGAAAAA